AUGACCUGGACCCUGCUCCUCCUCCAGUUCCUGCUCACUUGCUGCCCAGGGUCCAAUUCGCAGACUGUGGUGACUCAGGAGCCCUCACUGACUGUGUCCCCAGGAGGGAAAGUCACUCUCACCUCUGCUUCCAGCACUGGAGCACUCACCAGUGGUCACUAUCCAAACUGGUUCCACAGAAACCUGGACAAGCCCCCAGGGCACUGAUUUAUGAUACGAGCAACAAACACUCCUGGACCCCUGCCCGGUUCUCAGGCUCCCUACUUGGGGGCAAAGCUGCCCUGACACUGUCAGGUGCGCAGCCUGAGGACGAGGCUGAGUAUUACUGCUCGCUCUACUAUAGCGGUGCUCAGCACAGUGACAGACUCAUAAGAGGUUUCCUGGACAGUGAUGGGCCACACUCUCCCAACUUCCAACCACCCGCUCCUCACAAAGAAUAA